UCCCUGGACGUAAGUCCUGGAAGGGUUGUUAAAGACGAUGACGUUGAUAGGCAGGGUGUGGAAGCGUUGUAAGGCGUUAAGCUAACCUGUACUAAUUACCCGAGAGGCUUAACCAUACAACGCCUAAGUAG
rnacentral:rRNA from 1 species